UCUUUUUCUACCUUUCCUGUGCAUCUUCCCAUCUGUACAUGAAAAUUAAUUAUCUGUUGUGUUUGUUCUCAGAUGGACCUCCAGUGAUAGCACACUAUGAUAUUUCUGACACUAACUCCGACCCAGAUGUUCUGAACGUCGACAGUCUUCUUGCAGCUGCUGCUGUUCAGGAGCAAUUCUCUUUUGGACAUCAUGAGUUUAAAGUGAACACUGUUAGAAACCGAGGACUGUUGGAACAAUGCAUUGCAGGUCAAGGAGAAGAGAGCUUCAUAGUUAAUGACUCUUCAGGUUUCUCUGUACCAUUAAAAGAAGAAAUCCAAAUUGCCUCCUCUGAUAGUGAGGUCGAAAUUGUAGGAAUUCAAGAAGAUACAAGAUCAAUUCAGACUAGACCCGGUGUAAUCCAGAGCUGUUCAUCAUGGAAGCAGAAUUCUCAUUCAUAUUGCAGCAGGGUCCAGCAACAACAAAUGCAUUCGUGGGCUGCCGUCUCUCAGCCAACCUGGAGUGGAGCUCCAGAGGUUGUUGACCUUACCCUUGAUGAAGAUGCUAGACGCAGAUACUUGCUGUGAGCAAUUAUCAUGUGCUGUCUUUGUUCAGUGGUGCAAGAUGACAAAGAGUAGAGGGGAAAAAAUGCUCAGUGGCUCCUUUCUAUUGUUCACAAAGAUUUGAAAAGUUGUUAUUUUGCUUUUUUCAUUGAGUGAAGUUUCUGUAUUUUUCAACAUCCAGUACUAUCCAAAAAGGUAUGUUUCACAUUUGUCUUAAAAUGUCAAUACAUCAACAUUAUGGGUCUCAUAUUGGGCGACUGAAUGUUUUUAAGUGGCUCUGUUUCUAAAAUAGUUUGUAUUUUAUGUAGUCCCCAGAUUAUUUAGUAGGUUUCAGGAUUCACAUUAGGCAUGCCUAACUUGGACUUAGAUGUUUUUGAGUUAAUUUGACAUUUAAGUACUGCAUUUAAAUUCACUAGAAAUUUUAGCAGCAAUUUUCAAUUAAAUCUGCUAGUUCAGCAAAAUAUAAAUUUAUUUAAGGUUAGUGACAGGGCUUCUGUAAUAAAGGCAAAAUGAUAGGGCUCUGAGCUUGCAUGUGUAGUGUUGACUCACCAAUUACAAUAUGUGCCAUCAUUUCAGUCAAAGAAGAUCCUUCCUCCUAUAAUUCCUAUUGAUGCCCUUAGUAAUGCACAGCCACAAAGGAAAAUAUAAAGUCAUUCAUCACCUUAAUCUAUCAGUGAAUCUAAGUUUAUUAGUGGCUUAAUCCAUGCUUCUGUCAUACUAAAAAGGUUUGAUUAGUUACUGAGUAAAAGUAAUUGUGUCUGUCUGUUCAAUGGGUAGUCCUAAUUUGUAUUAAUUUUCAAAAGGUUUCAGUUGGUCUUAGUAAUUGCAGAGUGUUUCUCAGCUGCUAAAAUUGCAGUAUGCGAAAAUGAAUUGUAAAGAAUUAUAAGUGAAAGAACAUUAUUCAUUCUUAUUCCAAUAGCAUUGAUUUUAGUUAUUAUCUCAGUAAAAUAAAUUGCUGAAAUAUAGUCAGAUAAACAUAGUUAUAAUAAAUAAUUUCUCCCCAUCAAAGCUAUUUAAACAGUGGAAUGAACAAGUAAGAAAGCUUCAACUGAUCACUAAGGUUUUUGUUUAAACCUCUUAUUUGAUAGGAAUAUGUUGAUAUUUCAUUUUGAUUGGAAAAGAAAGUAGUUAUAGGUAGGACCAAAAGAAAAAUCUUACUCCCAAAGCUUCCAUUGGACUGUAAUUGGAAGGAAUAAUUUGUAAAAAAAAAAAGAACUUUUUCCAAAGUUUGAAACAGCCAGGAACAAAUAGUUUUGAAAACUGUAUUCCCAUUAUGUUUUCUACCCAAGGGAAUUUGAAGUAUCAGUAGUAGCGUACUGAAUGCUGCAUUAACUUUGUGGCUUAUUUUAUCCCUCAGGCAUCUUUAUCAUUUUAGUUUCUAGAUUGUCUGGUUACCACUCAUGAUAUGGUGGCCUGAAAUAAAACUUGUAAAAUCUUGGAAGAAACUUAGUGCAUGACACUAUAAUAGCUGUGCAACACAAUGCAUUUUUAUAAGCACUUGAUUUACCUGUUAUGCUCAGAUAAGUUUUAUUUGGUGAUGUACACCAAGAUGAAAGAGUAGCUCACUGGGUAAUUGCAUAACUGUACUGGUUCAAAUGGAUCAGAAUAUUCUCAGGUUUAUACUCUUUGCUGACAUCAGCUUGACCCCCCUGCCCAUGAUCUGUGCCAGAAAGUUACAUAUACGUAGUUGCACAUGAAGACGGAAUUGAUAUUGUAUGUGAUGCUUCCCUGUGGUGGAAAAGGUACAGACCCUGUGAAUCAUAGAAUCUUGCAGUAUACAGAAGUCAUUCAGUAUGGAAGCAUCUAAUUAGUCCUUCAACCUGUUUUUCCCCACAGCCAUGCAAAUUUUAUGUAAAGAAUGGCCAGUAGAGAAAAGUGCUUGAAGGAAGGCAGUGUUGGGAGCUGUCCUAUACCCUCUAUACAUUAAGAAAACUGUUAUCUGUGCAGAUAUGUUUGCAUUAGCACUGUGGUAAAUUUAUUUAUAAAGUUGUUGAAAAUGGGUCCUGCAAAUUGAAGCAGUGCUAAGUGUUUCAGCAGCCUUCAAUUGCAGAUCAAAGACUUGUUCAUCUUACCAUCUUGGAGAGUACUGAAUGAGUACCAAGACUGAAUUCCUGGAGACUUUAUGUGGAAACGUGCCUUUUUGGUUACCUGAUGUAAGCGGUUAUUCUUAAAAGUCACUAAAACCUGGUUUAUGUGGUAAUAGUGUCUGAGUUUUGAUUUAAUUUGUGUUAGUCAGGGUCUUCUUGCUUUUUUCCAAAACAUCUAGUAUUAAAAGUUUGUGCAUUUAUGUUUAAGUAACAACAGAUUUUUUUUGUUCCUGAGUUCCUUCAGCUAGUGUCUAAUGUUAAUUAUACUAGGUUGUUUAAAUUGGGACAGAUUAGGGAGUGUUUAAAUUUAAAGUGCAGUAUCUUCAUUGCUUUGAAAGUGAUUAGAUUCCAAGGAUGGGCUGAUGCUCUGCUUUUGACAAUUGCAGUUUUUAUCUGUAGAGGUUGCUUACUAAGCUGUUGGCAGGCUACAGUAGACUCUUGUCUGCAGGUUCCUAGACCAUGAUAGUCAGCUUCCCGAAACACAUGUGGCAAAGAAAAGCAAAGGACCCUCCCCUUUCAAAUUAAAGACAAUACAUCCACCUGAAUUUUUGGUUAUGGAUUUUGAUGAUCACAAGGUCAAAAGAAGGCAUUUUAUACACAAGGUAUAUAACCUCAGAUACAUGUCAUGUUUAAAAAGCAAAACUGCCCAAUGUCUUAAAGGCUUAACUGGUAUUUGAGAGGGUAACUUUACUAUUUGACAAGUUUUUCUUGGGUUUAUGGUACUAUCACAUGACCAGAACCAAACUCGUAUUCUAUCUAAUUUAAACUAAAAUCUUACAGCACAAUGUAAUCUAAACCAACUUUAUACCGUGGCACCUUCUUCAAAUAGUGGAGAUAACCUAGUUUUAUAUGCCUGUUGCUUAAUACUGAGUGAUAAUGGACAACUCCACCUGAAAAGUAACACGUAGAUGCUAUCAUAUCUAGCACUUAAUAAUGCUGUUUCUACAGAGAAGGGCUUUUUUUAAAAAAAAGUAUUGGAUCUCAGUACUGCUACUUUCAGGUGGAAUAGCAUCACUGCAUCGCACAGUGUGUUUGCUGAGUUACUACUUAACCAUGCUUUGUGAUCCUCAUUGUACAAAUUUGCAUCGGUUUACAGACCACAAAAUCAUUUUCUCAUCUUCAAGAUUCUCAACUUGUUUUUAUAAUUUUGCAAUAAAUGUGUUCCACCUCAGGACAAAGUGAAAGAGCCAUUGCUUGAAUCUUUGGGAAAAGUAAAUAAAAUUAAAACCUGGGCAGUGAAGGUCUUUCUUGAACAGGAAAGUUUUCAUUAAUGUUGGCAUGCUUGUUCACUAGAGAGGAACUUCCAGUUCAAUAGAUGGAGAGCAAAAAGAGGUGAAGUGUGUUCCAGUAGUGCAAAGGCUGUUAAAACAAAUUGUUACAUUAAGGUUUGCUUGACAUGCUCAUGAAUCCUCACCUAUGAAGGGAAUGCUGGCUUCUUAGAAAGGUAGUAAGUAGCCAUGGAUCCUUGCCUGUUUAACUGUUAUGCAUUCUGUCUUAACCCAAGUUGUGCUUGGCUCCAGUGGUAAAAUGCAAAUCUUUUUUGAAGUUUAAUUUAGGUUAUCGAAUGAAUUAUUAUUCAAACAAAUGUUACUUCUGAAUUAAAUGAGACUAAACUAGAUCCCUACAUUAUCCUUUAUCUAUGUCACCACUUACCCUCACUCAAUAAUAUUGCAUUUUCAUUUUCAUAAUGGAUCUAUCCCUCCCUAAAAUUGCAGAUCAAUAUUCAAACAACUUGUUUUAAAUCUUUUCCCUACAAAAAUUUACCUUUGCUAAAAUAAAGCGUGAACCAUUAUCACUAACACUUUUUGUGGUUUUCAGCACACAUUAUGUUGUAAUUUUUGUGCAAAUUUUGUGCUUUCAUAUUUAUUGCUCUCCAUUUUCUAUUGCUGUAUGUGUGUAUCAGCAAUAUUCAAUGGAUAUCCUAUGACAAAUGAGUGACCAGAAUCAGCACAUAACAUUCUUGGAAACUGUUUGCAUCAAUAUCUUGGCAUUUAAUACUUUAGAAACCUGGAAGCUCGUAUUGGGCAUCAUGAAUAAGUUAUGCAUUAACUUUCCUCAUUAGUGAAAUCUCUGGGGAAACUGUAAUGCACUGCUGGUGUUCAACUCAGUGGCAUAUCUAAUGCCCUGUUGUGAUGUUUUUUCUAAUGCUUUUGUUUAAAUUGCGGAUGGUUUAUGUAUUUGAUAAUCUUUGGCAUAUGUUGUGCCCCUGAAUCUUUGUAAUCGAGGACUGAGCAAUGACUUAAGUAGUGUUAUGGGAGAACAUUGGAGGACAUCUCUUCAGCUGAUUGUUUCAAGUUGUGAUGCAGCAUGAUUCACAUGCUCAUUUCAAAGUGUGGCCCAGUAAAGAAUUCUUUACUGAUUUGGGAAGCGUGGAAAGAAUUUAAAAAACAGGUAAAUUUAACAGGCUGAGCAGUAACAGUAGAGUCUGCCCAUUUGGUGUUGAGGUUGAGUCAGGUAAAGCGGAUAAAAUAUGUUUUUCCUUCAGAUUAAUCUUCCUAACCUUCAUCUUUCCAGUUAAGUUACAAAGGGCUCUGAGUAAAUGUGCAAUGAUGUGUGAUAUUGAGCCAAGCUCAUCAGAUAUUGUCUUGUUUUGAUCCUGAGUAAAGUGACCUGAGCAUGUUUGGAGCUAGGAGCAUUAUAAUUAGCCUUAAUGUUUUGCAGCAGUUAUAGUAUGCCAAAAUUAAGGAGGUCUGGUUGUUAUCAUCUCUGAAUUAUUAUGCAACGAUCCAUGUGGAAAGUUGUAUGUAUAUAUAAUGUAAGGUGAAAAAUAAUAUUUGGUUUGGUUACAAUGCCUUCAUUGUAAAAUAUUCUGACUACAUUUGGUGUCUAAGCUUGUAUUUGAAGAAUUUCCACUGAUGAUAGAUUGUGGGGCUUAACAGUAUCCAUGGGAACAUACCCAAGCAUGAUUCAGAACCUGAAGGGAAAAACUUGGGAAGGAGGUCGAAGAAACCGUUGAGUAGAUCAUAGUUAUGGCUGAAAGAGGACAAACUUGAGAUGAUGACCAGUGCAUGAACUCCAAAUAGACUUGCUCAGUACAGAGAGUUGUAUGAUUCACGUUGGAACUUAGCUGGUUGGAAGAAAUUCAAAAAUCAUAAAAAACAAAAUGGGAACUAAAUAAAGAGGGUGCAAUCUAAUGUUAUCAAAAGGAGUAAAUAAAGAGGGAAUUUGCUUAUCUGCUAGUUAGAGGUAUUACAGUGCAGAAUUUCACCAUGUAGCAAAUCAGAGUUCUAGUGUGUAACAAACAAGCAUACAUAUUCACCUCCACAACUACUACUGUUUAAAUCUGGACACCCAGGCAGUGUGAGGGUUAGUUUGUAUUUUCAGAACCAUCUUUCGAUUGACAUUUUAUAUCAUUUUUCUGUUAAAUUCUUUUGUGUGGGAAUGGAAUAAAUGUUAUUUUCUACUGAAGACCAGUGCCCACAAUGAUAACAGCGAGAACAAAAGGAAUUGAGGUAUUAUAUUGCUUGUAAGUUUCAUUAAAGCAUAAAAAUUGUAUAGAAUUAUUACAAAUGUUUUAUGCGCGAUAUAAGGGAGCAAUUCUAAAUAAUCCUCAGCAUGUAAAUUUUGAUCUUGUGAGAUUGCACUAAUUAUGGACUUUGUUUUGCCCCUGCUCAGUAUUGAUUUUUUUCUGGAAAAAUGUAAAUACUGUUUGUGCUGCCUUGUAUGGAGCUGUGGUGGCAGUGUAUAGAUUUUUAACUGUUAUGCAGUGAUUAUAUGAAAUAGAAAAAUUGAGACAGGAAAAUAAAAAUUUAACUUUUAAACAUUA